GCACUCGUAGCUUGGCUAACGCACGCCGAAACAAAACACUGAAAGGAUGCUGAGACGUCAGAGCAAACACACGAUUGGAAACAGACUGCCAAUGGCAGGUCUUACAUCUGACUCCAAACAAACAACAAACAAACGGGAAACCGAAUGCCAAUCGCUGGACUUACAUCAGACUCCAAACAAACAAACGCAAAUAGGAUACAGAAUGCCAAUCGCUGGUCUUAC
rnacentral:lncRNA from 1 species